CAGGACGAACGCUGGCGGCGUGCCUAAUACAUGCAAGUCGAACGGUCUUUCUAUGGAAGCUUGCUUCCACUGAGAAGAUAGUGGCGAACGGGUGAGUAACUCGUGGGUAACCUGCCCAUAAGAGGGGGAUAACAUCCGGAAACGGGUGCUAAUACCGCAUAGUUUUCUUGAUCGCAUGAUCGGGAAAGGAAAGACGGCCUUUGUGCUGUCGCUUAUGGAUGGACCCGCGGCGUAUUAGUUAGUUGGUGAGGUAAUGGCUCACCAAGACGAUGAUACGUAGCCGACCUGAGAGGGUGAUCGGCCACAUUGGGACUGAGACACGGCCCAAACUCCUACGGGAGGCAGCAGUAGGGAAUCUUCCGCAAUGGACGAAAGUCUGACGGAGCAACGCCGCGUGAGUGAAGAAAAGGUUUUCGGAUCGUAAAACUCUGUUGUCAGAGAAGAACAAGUUGGAGAGUAACUGCUCCAGCCUUGACGGUAUCUGACCAGAAAGCCACGGCUAACUACGUGCCAGCAGCCGC
rnacentral:rRNA from 1 species